rnacentral:rRNA from 1 species
AUUGAACGCUGGCGGCAGGCCUAACACAUGCAAGUCGAGCGGAUGACGGGAGCUUGCUCCUUGAUUCAGCGGCGGACGGGUGAGUAAUGCCUAGGAAUCUGCCUGGUAGUGGGGGACAACGUUUCGAAAGGAACGCUAAUACCGCAUACGACCUACGGGAGAACGCAGGGGACCUUCGGGCCUUGCGCUAUCAGAUGAGCCUAGGUCGGAUUAGCUAGUUGGUGGGGUAAUGGCUCACCAAGGCGACGAUCCGUAACUGGUCUGAGAGGAUGAUCAGUCGAACAGGAACUGAGCCACGCUCCAGACUCCUACGGGAGGCAGCAGUGGGGAAUAUUGGACAAUGGGCGAAAGCCUGAUCCAGCCAUGCCGCGUGGGUGAAGAAGGCCUUUUGGUUGUAAAGCACUUUAAGCGAGGAGGAGGCUCUUAAGGUUAAUACCCUUGAUGAGUAGACGUUACUCGCAGAAUAAGCACCGGCUAACUCUGUGCCAGCCGCCGCAGUAAUAC